rnacentral:tRNA from 1 species
GAAAAUUUAGUUAAAAAAUAACAUUAGCUUGUCAUGCUAAAAUUGCUAUUAUAGUAAUUUUCU